CCCACAAUCUUACAUUAAAUAAACAAGAAAUAUCAAUUCUCUUAACAAAGAAAUGAUCCACACAUACAAAUAUAUAGCACAAUAAAUAAAUAUAUAAAACACUAAUUAAGAACACAAUCUAAUUAAUUAUAAGUCCCUACAAAUUUUACAGACACAAUUCAAAUAAUUAAAACUAAAACCCCCAAUAAAAAUAAAAAAAAUCAGAGAGGCCAAUUAAUGGGGGCUUUUGAUGAAAGUGAAUGGACAUACUUACAAUUAGGACAAGAUGGAGAAGACCUACAUAGUAUUACUAGAAGAUGGCAAUUUGAACAAGCUAAUGCCACCAUAUUAUUAUUAUUAUUUAUAUUAUUAUUAACAAUAUUUUUCGAAUAAGAAGAAGACGACGACGAAGAAGAAGCAGAAGAAGAAGAACCCUUUUGCUCGUAAUUAUUAUAAGAAGUAGUAGUUGAGAUGUUGAGUUCGAGGUCUAGCUUCUGCUCCACUUCCGGUCUGAUCCAGCUCUUCGUCGAUGUCUUUCUGUGCACAUAGUACAUUCUUCCCGACUGCAGAAA
rnacentral:lncRNA from 1 species